CCUACGGGAGGCAGCAGUGGGGAAUAUUGGGCAAUGGGCGCAAGCCUGACCCAGCAACGCCGCGUGAAGGAAGAAGGCUUUCGGGUUGUAAAGUUCUUUUCUCAGGGACGAAGCAGUUGACGGUACCUGCGGAAUAAGCCGCGGCUAACUACGUGCCAGCCGCCGCGGUAAUACGUAGGUGGCAAGCGUUAUCCGGAUUUACUGGGUGUAAAGGGCAUGUAGGCGGGGACUCAAGUCAGAUGUGAAAACCACGGGCUCAACCUGGGGACUGCAUUUGAAACUGUGUUUCUUGAGUACUGGAGAGGCAGACGGAAUUCCUAGUGUAGCGGUGAAAUGCGUAGAUAUUAGGAGGAACACCAGUGGCGAAGGCGGCCUGCUGGACAGCAACUGACGCUGAGGUGCGAAAGCGUGGGGAGCAAACAGGAUUAGAUACCCGAGUAGUC
rnacentral:rRNA from 1 species